rnacentral:rRNA from 1 species
UACGAAGGGUGCAAGCGUUACUCGGAAUUACUGGGCGUAAAGCGUGCGUAGGUGGUUUGUUAAGUCUGAUGUGAAAGCCCUGGGCUCAACCUGGGAAUUGCAUUGGAUACUGGCAGGCUAGAGUGCGGUAGAGGAUGGCGGAAUUCCCGGUGUAGCAGUGAAAUGCGUAGAGAUCGGGAGGAACAUCUGUGGCGAAGGCGGUCUCCUGGGGCAUUCUUGACGCUGAGGCGCGAAAGCUGGGGGAAGCCAAACGGGG